GGAGCAUAAUUUUUUCAUCACAGAUUCAGAGCCUUCAGGAGGAGACUUCUGGAGAGAUAUAGCAGGUGAACACACACAAGAAACCAAUUCACCUCAUUCACUGAAGAAGGAUGUAGAAAACAUGGGGAAAGAGGAGCUCCAGAAGGUUUUGUUUGAACAGAUUGACUUACGAAGGAGACUGGAACAGGAAUUCCAGGUGUUGAAAGGAAAUGCGUCUUUCCCAGUCUUCAGUAAGACACAUAUCUGUGGUUUUGGUGUUAAUUGUGAGUGGUUGGA
rnacentral:lncRNA from 1 species